UACGGAGGGUGCAAGCGUUAUCCGGAUUCACUGGGUUUAAAGGGUGCGUAGGUGGGUUGGUAAGUCAGUGGUGAAAUCUCCGAGCUUAACUUGGAAACUGCCAUUGAUACUAUCAGUCUUGAAUAUUGUGGAGGUCAGCGGAAUAUGUCAUGUAGCGGUGAAAUGCUUAGAUAUGACAUAGAACACCAAUUGCGAAGGCAGCUGGCUACACAUCUAUUGACACUGAGGCACGAAAGCGUGGGGAUCAAACAGGAUUAGAAACCCCAGUAGUCC
rnacentral:rRNA from 1 species